rnacentral:rRNA from 1 species
UAGGGAAUCUUCCGCAAUGGGCGAAAGCCUGACGGAGCAACGCCGCGUGAGUGAUGAAGGUCUUCGGAUCGUAAAACUCUGUUAUUAGGGAAGAACAAAUGUGUAAGUAACUAUGCACGUCUUGACGGUACCUAAUCAGAAAGCCACGGCUAACUACGUGCCAGCAGCCGCGGUAAUACGUAGGUGGCAAGCGUUAUCCGGAAUUAUUGGGCGUAAAGCGCGCGUAGGCGGUUUUUUAAGUCUGAUGUGAAAGCCCACGGCUCAACCGUGGAGGGUCAUUGGAAACUGGAAAACUUGAGUGCAGAAGAGGAAAGUGGAAUUCCAUGUGUAGCGGUGAAAUGCGGAGAGAUAGGGAGGAACACCAGUGGCGAAGGCGACUUUCUGGUCUGUAACUGACGCUGAUGUGCGAAAGCGUGGGGAUCAAACAGG